UGGUAGAAAGAAGCUUUCUGUUUUCCUCUCCCUCUUUCAUCCGCGGUGCUCAUUCAACAUAGUAUUUGGAGAUUCCUGUGAACAUCAACAGUCAUAAACAUGUCAUUCUGAACAGCAACAUCUUCUUAACAAGAAUUUAGUCAGUUGGCAAUUCAACAGAAUUCGAUCUUGUUCAUGUUGAUGAUCGGUACAACAUGAAACAGAUAGCAAGAUAACAAGCCAUGGUAUAUCAGACCGUAUACUACAGAAACAUCUCCUCCCUACCUGGGAAAGCGAUUCAUCGCAACAGGCCGGAAGUCAAACUCAAUGUGCUACAAUGUGGUACUUUCAGACACAUGAAAUGUACCUGUUACUACACAGACGUUCAGAACGUGUGCAAAGGCACAAUUUCUUCUUCUUCUGAGGUUUAACGGCGGUUUGCAUCCAAUUUGUUGCAUUACCGCCACCUACUAGACUGUAGUACAACACCCUUAUUCUUUGCUUGAA